UACGUAGGGGGGCAAGCGUUGUCCGGAUUUAUUGGGCGUAAAGAGCGUGUAGGCGGCCACACAGGUCAGCUGUGAAAACUCGAGGCUCAACCUCGAGACGUCGGUUGAAACCGUAUGGCUAGAGUCCGGAAGAGGAGAGUGGAAUUCCCGGUGUAGCGGUGAAAUGCGCAGAUAUCGGGGAAGAACACCCGUGGCGAAGGCGGCUCUCUGGGACGGUACUGGACGCUGAGACGCGAAAAGCGUGGGGGAGCGAACAGG
rnacentral:rRNA from 1 species